rnacentral:rRNA from 1 species
GGGAUAACACUGGGAAACAGGUGCUAAUACCGCAUAACCAUAGUUACCGCAUGGUAACUAUGUAAAAGGUGGCUAUGCUACCGCUUUUGGAUGGGCCCGCGGCGCAUUAGCUAGUUGGUGGGGUAAAGGCUUACCAAGGCAAUGAUGCGUAGCCGAACUGAGAGGUUGAUCGGCCACAUUGGGACUGAGACACGGCCCAAACUCCUACGGGAGGCAGCAGUAGGGAAUCUUCCACAAUGGGCGAAAGCCUGAUGGAGCAACGCCGCGUGGGUGAAGAAGGUCUUCGGAUCGUAAAACCCUGUUGUUAGAGAAGAAAGUGCGUGAGAGUAACUGUUCACGUUUCGACGGUAUCUAACCAGAAAGCCACGGCUAACUACGUGCCAGCAGCCGCGGUAAUACGUAGGUGGCAAGCGUUAUCCGGAUUUAUUGGGCGUAAAGGGAACGCAGGCGGUCUUUUAAGUCUGAUGUGAAAGCCUUCGGCUUAACCGGAGUAGUGCAUUGGAAACUGGGAGACUUGAGUGCAGAAGAGGAGAGUGGAACUCCAUGUGUAGCGGUGAAAUGCGUAGAUAUAUGGAAGAACACCAGUGGCGAAAGCGGCUCUCUGGUCUGUAACUGACGCUGAGGUUCGAAAGCGUGGGUAGCAAACAGGAUUAGAUACCCUGGUAGUCCACGCCGUAAAC